GACGAACGCUGGCGGCGUGCUUAACACAUGCAAGUCGAACGGAAAGGCCCUGCUUUUGUGGGGUGCUCGAGUGGCGAACGGGUGAGUAACACGUGAGUAACCUGCCCUUGACUUUGGGAUAACUUCAGGAAACUGGGGCUAAUACCGGAUAGGAGCUCCUGCUGCAUGGUGGGGGUUGGAAAGUUUCGGCGGUUGGGGAUGGACUCGCGGCUUAUCAGCUUGUUGGUGGGGUAGUGGCUUACCAAGGCUUUGACGGGUAGCCGGCCUGAGAGGAUGACCGGCCACAUUGGGAUGGGGAUAAGGCCCAGCCUCCUCCCGUAGGGAAGAGUGGGGAAUAUUGUACUAUGGGCUGAAGCCUGAUGUAGUCACGCCGCGGCGGGUAUGUCGGCCAUCGCGUUGUGUACCGCUGUCGCCUGUGACGAAGCGUGAGUGACGGUAAUGGGUAAAGAAGCACCGGCUAACUACGUG
rnacentral:rRNA from 1 species